rnacentral:rRNA from 1 species
AUGCGGGUAGCCUCCAGGGUGGUCGUCCUCGUCCGAGACGCCGCGGGCUACGGCGCAGCCCUCGCUGACGCGCUCCGGCCGUCGCCGGGGCUCACGAGGGUUUCCUCGCCCUUCGAUCUCCCUCUCGAUAAGUACGGCCUCAACGGCGAAAAGGCCUCCGGCGAGCUCGUUAGCUUCUCUGACUCCAGUGGCUCUCCUCAGCCUUUUCCUGCAUUUCUGCAAGAUUCACUUUACCGCUGCGCCAGGGCUCCCCUUCUUUUCAUGGAUGUAAUGCUCAAAAUUAGCAUAUACCAUUUGACUAUCACUGUGUCAUUUUUUGUUCUGCCUGACUAUAGGCCUCCUGUUGCUGCAUGUGCUAUGAAUGAGAUUUUAGCAUUGAUUUCUUCUGAAGCUCCCUCCAUCCAGCCAGUUCUGAUUGUACCAUUCAUCACAAGACCAUCAGGCUGCUUCCAUGGAAUGGUUAAUGCAACAAAAACUGGGCAGUUAACUACACUUCAUGCUGCUGAAAUAGGGGCAUCAAAUGAGUUUACUCACUUGUUGGUUGACGGAACUAUUAAACCUCGGCCAUCUUUGCAAAUACGUAGUGAACCAAUACAAUGCUUGCUGGAAAUAGUGCGGGUAUUGAAGAUACCCACAGUUCUUCUUGUCACAUCAGGUGGGCAGCACCAAGGCAAAAGUUCUUCAGACUCUGACCUUGAGGUGCUGCAGUGCGUGGGAGAUCACGUAGCCAAGCACAUCAACUUGGAGUUCCAAAGAAACUGUCAUUGA